GUGGUGAGUCGUCGUGGUGAGCUGUCGUCGUGAGCUGCACAGUGAAUGGACGAUGGGCCCCUGGGCGUCCGUGGCUGUGAAUCGUGGAACCCUCACGUGGGAGCUGCCAAGCCAAGGUUCAGGAGGUCAAGUGCAGUGACCUUCACGUUGGCCGAAUCAGAGGAGAAUCCCCAAGUUGUCGCCUCUCCAGCAACGAAGGCCCUCUCACAAAGCCCACAGUCGACCUCCAUUCCAUGAGAGGUCGCCUCCCUCUUGACUUCUGCCCCUGCAUGGAAUUUUCUUGAACACACUCUGCCCCACUGGUUCAAGUCAAGACUUCAAAAGACCCACGUGUGUUCAUAUGCACAAAGCCUCCUUUAUUUCUCUUCUUCGUCUUUCUCCCGUGAAGCCUCGGGAGAUGCGGUCGCAUUUUGACGCACUAUGAAUUAAACGGUAUCGUCUGAUAUAUAUUGUUGAAAAUGAGAGCAGCAUACAUCGAACGGGUAUAGGUGCUGCGCGUCUCCUGACCUAACCAUCAGCUUGCUAAGACUGGGGGGAUUAUCAGGCUGUUGUGCAAAUUUAAGCCAUAAUGGGGCGUCCAAUGUGUAAAGAUAUUUCUCAUGAGGCACGAAUAAUACAUUUCACAUUAACAUCGCUUCUUGGACAUUAUUUACUUGUCUGCAUGUAUACUUUUUUUUCUGGGUUUAAAGCGAAGAGAGCGUCAUCAGGGGAGGUGUUCGCAUGCUUCAAAAUUCAAAUAUAGAGACCUUGAACCACGAAAAGUGGGUUAAGUGCUGUUGUAAUGACCUUAGGAAUUUAAGGUGCUUUGGAGGGAGAGGUCCAGAGGAGUGCAAAGUCCAACACACACGAAAUGAUUCUGGUUCUAUAAAUUCUAGAUCGAAAAUCGGUACCUUCCGAUUUGCUUUUUGCGUUUCGUUUGUUGUCCUUUCCCCCGCAACUCCGGUCAGCACGGUUGACUACGUACGGCGCGGAAGAAGUUCAACGUACGUACAAUCCAAUCGUGAUCUGGGAUUUGGUGGAACUCAUCCGAGCGGACACCCUCGAUCUCGCCUGGUGACAAUGCCAUCCCAGGGCAGUAAAGAUCAAGCGGGUUCACAUUGUUCCACUGCCCGGCAUGACACAACUUUAAUAACAGACCUCUUGCAUCACUGAAAGAGACUGGACUUCUACCGAUGGAGAAAAUCCAAAACUCGGGACGAGCUCAGGGCUUUUUAAACUCCAGCCCUCACCUACCAACCACGGUGGACACCUGUUUAUAUUCACCAAUCGAAACUUAUUUUACCAGGUAAGGUGCACAGAGCUAUACAGCUCUUUUUCAGAAACGACCUGGCUAUCACAAAUUAUAGCUCAACGAAGUGGCUUAUCAAGUGGAAAUUUACACCAGCCAAAUACUCUAAACGCACGUUUAUAAAUCUGGAGGGGAAAACCGGAGGACCCAAAGAAAAAUCCACGCGACCACGGGGAGAGAGACAUGCAAACUCCAAAUAUACAGCAGGCGUCAUGGCUGGGAUCGAAUCCACCCCGUCCCGUAUAACCAGGCGAGGUAGUUAACAUCUCAGGUGCGUGCAACCAGAAACGACCGUUUGUCAUUGAAAGGAAAUACUGGUCAACGUGAAAAGGUGCGCUUUGGUUGAGCGAGGACCUGGAGUUUUUAGAAGCCCUGGCCUAUGCAGUGGAAGGUUGUUACGAAUCACACGUCACGCAAAACACUCAAAAGCUACCAACAACAACAGAUGGAUGCUGCAGCACCAUCCUGGUAUGUGUGCAAACAAGAAGCCCUUUUAAGCGAACGUUGUCCUUCAAAAUGACAACCUAUACUUUGCCAUGCACGCGUAUUUUACUGUAACCUCCCGGUACUUUUAACACCCACGUGGGUCAUUUUGAUAACUCCCCCCCAGUGUAAGAACCCAAGGCACUGGAUUUGUCACCGUGAACGAAAUUGUACCGCUGCGUGAAGCAUCUGCCUCGAUUACGUUGACGAGGGGUCUACGGCUCGUACUCUGCGCCUGUGUGCGCCGCAGGAGGAGUCGGGGCACCGCUUUGCGCUUCUCCGUGCCGUUGAGGGCACGAAGGGAAACCUGCGAAACAGUGCAACUCUGUGAAGGAGAAACGAGCGUGCACAGCACGUCCUAGAAGACCACGACGAAGCUCUCAGCGCUCCGAAGAGCAUUUUCGAAGGUUUGUCCAAAACAAGAUUGCCACCCAACGACCACACUCCAGGAACACAA